rnacentral:rRNA from 1 species
AGUGAACGCUGGCGGUAGGCCUAACACAUGCAAGUCGAACGGCAGCACAGUAAGAGCUUGCUCUUACGGGUGGCGAGUGGCGGACGGGUGAGGAAUACAUCGGAAUCUACUUUUUCGUGGGGGAUAACGUAGGGAAACUUACGCUAAUACCGCAUACGACCUACGGGUGAAAGCAGGGGAUCUUCGGACCUUGCGCGAUUGAAUGAGCCGAUGUCGGAUUAGCUAGUUGGCGGGGUAAAGGCCCACCAAGGCGACGAUCCGCAGCUGGUCUGAGAGGAUGAUCAGCCACACUGGAACUGAGACACGGUCCAGACUCCUACGGGAGGCAGCAGUGGGGAAUAUUGAACAAUGGGCGCAAGCCUGAUCCAGCCAUACCGCGUGGGUGAAGAAGGCCUUCGGGUUGUAAAGCCCUUUUGUUGGGAAAGAAAAGCAGCAGGUUAAUACCCCGCUGUUCUGACGGUACCCAAAGAAUAAGCACCGGCUAACCUCGUG